UCAGGGACGGAUUUAGUGUCCUUAAUCCUCCUCUUGAGUCAAGCGGCUGCUUGUCACCGGCCUGCCUGGGACCCCUCUGAACAGCCUCUUCGGUGAGAGAGGCCUGCCUUUCCGAGCUCAAAGGCCCACAGAACCUUUCCCCUGCCACGUGAGAAAGCCCAGCUAGCCCACUGGCGGAUGAGAGACCAUGUGGAGAAGCCCACCAGCUGACCGUAGACUCAGGCCAACAGAGAACCACCCAGCUGAGCCAAGCCCAAAUUGCUAACCCAUGGAAUUGAACACUUUGGACAGUGCCUGCCACAGAGAGCGUGCCCGCUAAGUGCUGGUCUUCUCCUGCUCCUGUGUCAAAGGUGAAAGAAAGAAGUUCCAUUAGGAGCACCUCCUAUGCCCCGACGGCCUGGGGGAUACAGAAGUAAACAGUACGGUCUACAUCUUCAAGAAACAUGAGAUCCAUGAGGAGACACAGAGACCAUGGACGAAUGAAUAAAUGAACCAAUGAAUGAGUGAAAUCUUCUUGGGUAAACGCCCCCAAGGGCCAGCCUUUCGCCCCAGCAUAGCACUGGGGCCCAGCACACAGGCUCUGGGGUAGGACAGCCC